rnacentral:rRNA from 1 species
AAGACCUUGCGCUUUUGGAGCGGCCGAUGCCUGAUUAGCUUGUUGGUAAGGUAAAGGCUUACCAAGGCUUCGAUCAGUAGCUGGUCUGAGAGGACGGCCAGCCACACUGGGACUGAGACACGGCCCAGACUCCUACGGGAGGCAGCAGUGGGGAAUUUUGGACAAUGGGGGAAACCCUGAUCCAGCCAUGCCGCGUGAGUGAAGAAGGCCUUCGGGUUGUAAAGCUCUUUCAGCCGGAACGAAACGGUUACGGAUAAUACCCGUGACUACUGACGGUACCGGAAGAAGAAGCACCGGCUAACUACGUGCCAGCAGCCGCGGUAAUACGUAGGGUGCGAGCGUUAAUCGGAAUUACUGGGCGUAAAGCGUGCGCAGGUGGUUUUGUAAGCCAGAUGUGAAAGCCCCGGGCUCAACCUGGGAACU